UACGUAGGGACCAAGCGUUGUUCGGAUUUACUGGGCGUAAAGGGCGCGUAGGCGGCGUGACAAGUCACUUGUGAAAUCUCUGAGCUUAACUCAGAACGGCCAAGUGAAACUGUUGUGCUAGAGUGCAGAAGGGGCAAUCGGAAUUCUUGGUGUAGCGGUGAAAUGCGUAGAUAUCAAGAGGAACACCUGAGGUGAAGACGGGUUACUGGGCUGACACUGACGCUGAGGCGCGAAAGCCAGGGGAGCAAAACGGG
rnacentral:rRNA from 1 species